CCUACGGGUGGCAGCAGUGAGGAAUAUUGGUCAAUGGGCGGAAGCCUGAACCAGCCAAGUAGCGUGCAGGAUGACGGCCCUACGGGUUGUAAACUGCUUUUAUACGGGAAUAACGCGCCUUACGUGUAGGUCUUUGCAUGUACCGUAUGAAUAAGGACCGGCUAAUCCCGUGCCAGCAGCCGCGGUAAUACGGAAGGUCCGGGCGUUAUCCGGAUUGAUUGGGUUUAAAGGGAACGUAGGCCGCAUGGCAAGCGUGCUGUGAAGUGUCCGGGCUCAACCCGGGCCUUGCAGCGCGAACUGGAGUGCUGGAGUACGAGGAAAGCAGGCGGAAUUCGUCGUGUAGCGGUGAAAUGCUUAGAUAUGACGAAGAACCCCGAUUGCGAAGGCAGCUUGCUGCAGCGGAACUGACGCUGAUGCUCGAAAGCGCGGGUAUCGAACAGGAUUAAAUAACCUUGUAGUC
rnacentral:rRNA from 1 species